AAAAAAAAAAAAAAAAAAAACCGACAAUGCAUUUGCUUUGAAUUUGCAACAUUUCACGUACAAAUGAGAAUUGUUUUUCAUUCUGAAUGUUGUAACUUUCAAUCUGCAUUAGUAAGGGUAACGUGAUCUAUACAUUCAAGUGGUUUUGAAGAACCUGCCAAAUGGAAUUUGCAGCAUUAUUUUUAAUUCUUUUGAGUCAUAAGAAGGAGCUUAUCCUAGAUGAAGGAUCCAUUUAGGGUUGCUGUUUGAGCUGCGUUUGAGAAAAACACCACUUUAGAUAUAUUAAUUACAGGCUGUUAAAAUUGAUUUUAAGUUAAAUUUAACAUGUUUUGGUUAUAAGAACUCCAAAACAGUUAACAAUUUUUCAAAUUGCUUUUUUCAAUAGGGUUUGUUUGGCAUUGUUGUUGGAGUUGUUGAAAAAAAAAACCUCUUUAAAUAAGUCAGUUAGAGGAUGUUAAAAAUUAGUUUAAAGUUAAAU
rnacentral:misc_RNA from 1 species